rnacentral:rRNA from 1 species
AGCAGCCGCGGUAAUUCCAGCUCCAAUAGCGUAUACUAAAGUUGUUGCAGUUAAAAAGCUCGUAGUUGAAUUUCUGGUCGCGAAAGGUGGUCCGUUCCUCACGGAAUGUGUACUGUCCAUUCGUGUCCAUUCUCGGAGUUAGUUUGUAUUACCUUAAUCGGUCGUGCAUACAACCUUCGUCAUUUACUGUGAGCAAAAUAGAGUGCUCAAAGCAGGCUAAAAUGCCUGAAUAUUCGUGCAUGGAAUAAUAGAAUAGGAUGUCGAUCCUAUUUUGUUGGUUUUCGGGACUCGACAUAAUGAUAAAUAGGGACAGUCGGGGGCAUUUGUAUUCAAACGACAGAGGUGAAAUUCUUGGACCGUUUGAAGACAAACUACUGCGAAAGCAUUUGCCAAGAAUGUUUUCAUUAAUCAAGAACGAAAGUUAGAGGUUCGAAGGCGAUUAGAUACCGCCCUAGUUCUAACCAUAAACGAUGCCAGCUAGCGAUCUGCCUGCGUUUUUACUGUAGACUGGGCAGGAAGCUUCCGGGAAACCAAAGCAUUUGGGUUCCAGGGGAAGUAUGGUUGCAAAGCUGAAACUUAAAGGAAUUGACGGAAGGGCACCACCAGGAGUGGAGCCUGUGGCUUAAUUUGACUCAACACGGGAAAUCUCACCAGGCCCGGACACUGGAAGGAUUGACAGAUUGAUAGCUCUUUCUUGAUUCGGUGGGUGGUGGUGCAUGGCCGUUCUUAGUUGGUGGAGUGAUUUGUCUGGUUAAUUCCGAUAACGAACGAGACUCUGUCCUGCUAAAUAGUUUCUACUUCUCUUUUGAGUAGAAAUUUCUUCUUAGAGGGACUGGUGACUCUUAGUCACACGAGAUUGAGCAAUAACAGGUCUGUGAUGC